AAUUCCUUUCACUAUUGGACUCCUCUCAUAUCAGGCUGCCUCCUAGACAACUUUUCUUGUUGGAUUAUUAUUGUUGGCCGCGCGCGCAUUAGCGCCAUGUUGGUGCAACCGUUCGCGACCGACGCCGUUGUCAUUCGUUGACCGUUCGUCGAAUCCAUCCGUAUCCUUGCGCCAGAAGCUUCUCCUCCAUGCUGCAGCUCCAUUCAGAGAAGAAAGAACGCGAUCCGUCCACCACACACGAAGAAUUCUGCAUGUCCGCAUACACUGUUCGUCGAGUUCAUCGCUUUGUAUCUUCAUGCUCGGUGAGUCUCUAUCCAAUUCAUUUUGCAUACCUCCUAGGCAUCACUCAUAUUAUCUCCUAGACAUCCCUAUUCCAACUAAUUUUGUUGUUGGCCGCGUCGAUGCUAUCCAUCCCAUGAACCGUAGGUCAUGGUCAUCAUUUUUGUUGUUGUUUUGUUUAUCGUUUGGUUUUGAUCCCAGUAGAUGAAGCGCCUUGUGUGGAUGUAGCAAGCCCGUGGUGGAGUUAGAUUAUUGGUUUUAUAUUGUGAACAGUAGGAUAGAUAUGAGCAUAGUCGUUUUUUUUAAUUCAAGAGUCUUUCUAGUUUGGUUAAUUUUUUAUGUUAGUAUGUUAUUUCAUGUGUUCGUGAUAUGCCUAGGAGUGCAUGGUUUUUACCUUAGAAUUUUAGAAAUAUCAUGUGGUUGAUCGAUUGAUUUGAAUGUACAUUUAAAUUAUUAAAUUAGUCUUCUAGUUUUUCAUCUAGAUAAUUGCGUGCAUCAUGUAGUAGUAUUAUAUGUCCGUGUACUAGUUCUUGUGAAAUAUUUUCAGGUGUAGAUGUUGAUUCAGUGUAACGGAUUAUCAAUGUUCAUACAUGCUUGAUGGGUGUUAUUAUUUUAAUUAAUUUGGAUGAUCGUUAGAAUAAUCUUAUUAUUACUAUUUUGGUAAUGCUUGAUACUUAAUGUAUGUGUGCGUACAAAUUUUAGUAAAUGUUUGCCAUGCUUAUAAUUCCUCAGAUUUGUUUUAGGUAUUGCUUGAUUUAUUUGUGCAAUAUUUCAUGUUUGAUUAUAUUGUUUAACAUGAAGAUACCUAGAUGCGUUAUAUAUAUCUUUGUCAAGAAUGUCUAUCACAUGCAUGUUGAAAGUUUUGAUGUGAUGCCAUGUUCUAGGUUGAUGUUUAUUUUAAUUGUGCGGCAUAUAAUUUUUGUUGUAUGAUUGGUGUAAUGAAAUGACAUUUUUAACUUAGAACAUGGUCAUGCUUGACAUGAGUUGCUUGUUGUAGGACUAUUAUUAGCAUUUAGAUUAUGUGUCGCAGCUCGGUUAAUGCCACUUUCAUAAUUUCCUAAGUUGUGUGACACGUCAUUGUAUUGUGUGAUAUUUUACUAAUAAUGUUUGAGUGCUUGUACCUUAUUUGGAGAUUGAUUUUUUAGAAAAGAUUGCAUGGUUGGUUCCCUUAUGCCAUGUUUUAAAUAUGUAUUCCUGUACAUAGUUUAAUCUUGCGGCAUAGAAAGUUAUUACUUCUUGUUAUUUAUCCUUAAGUGUUUUAUUUACGUAGGACAGUAGCUAUGCAUGUUUAGUGGACUGCUAUGUCAUGUUUGUCGUUACUCAAAGUAGAAUGCAUGUUUUGGUUGUAUGUCUAUCACAUGUUAUAUGAUUACUAAUUAUAUAAUAUGUUCAUAAAUAUGGUUAGCCUUUGCAUGGUAGAUAUACCUGACGAUAUUUUGCGGUCUCAUGUAUUUUUAUUAAGUGGAGUUCAUCCUUGUUUUGUCAACAUCAUGCCAUGUUGUUGUGAUUGUAUAACUAGAAUGUAUUGCAUGUGUGUAUCAACUCACGUCUUGUAUGAUCCCUAGUUCUAUAUCUAUUUAUUUAUUAAGUGUAGGUCAUACUAGAUAGAAAUGCAUGCCAUCAUAUUAUUCGCGUUGUAUGAUACAUGAGCUAAGUGCUUACUUACCUACAUGCUCAUUACUCUUUAUGAACGUGCUUACCUGUAUUAACUAACAUGAUAGGGUUGUGUGCUUAUUCCAUGAUUUCAUGUUCUUACAUGUCAUGACUAGAAUGUGAGAUUGCAUGCUAGUGCCAUGCUUGAUCUUCAUGAUAGUUGAUAUCAACUAAGUUAUCUUAUAGUUACGAGUUGUAUUCUUUUGGUAGCCUAGUAUGGUAUCUCAUGUGAAGUAUAUUUACUUAUCUAUCUAUUGCAUUAUUGUAUGCUUAAGCCUUUACAUCUUGUCAUGAUAGUGAUCUUUCAUGUCUUAUUAUGCUCCAUGUGUUAUAGUAGCGUACUUAGUCCGUGUGCUUCUUAUAGGUGAUUGCCCUUGUCACAUGUUAGUGUUUUAUACUUGAUGCAAUAGUUCAUCCCAUGCUUAGGAUGAGUCAUAUGUCAUGUUAAUAGAAUUGUGCUUUGAUCAUACAGUUAGUGUGCACAUCAUGCUUUAUUAUUUUGAUCAUGUGGUGAUAAUAUAAUUGCUAGUGGUCGUUAGUAUUGGUUUAUCUUUUGUUCUAGAAACAUCGUUUGUUAUGGUUGAUGUUUCACUUUGCUUGUGGUUACCAUUGUAAAUAUUUAGAUUAUAUCUAAGUAUUUAUUUGUGGUUAACCUUUACAUCUACUAUGUUAUGUUGAGAUUGUGUAGUAAAAAUACGUAUGUUGAUUCCAUUCCAUGUGUGCUGAACUUCAUCGGAUUCAUCAUGUAGUAGUCCUAUAUACUUAACUGAGUUGUGUAGUGGACAGUACUAAUCGUCAGUAUCGUAGUUUCCAUUAGAACGCUAGUCUUGAUCACCAAGUGUUACUUAGUCAUCGUCAACCUAAACCAUGUCACCUCAUUGAAUCAUCUCUCUUACAUCCCUAUCGUGCUAUCCCAUUUCGGAAUCUCCAUCUUGAUCAAUAUCUUGUUACCCAUCCACCUUAUUUUGUUUUGGAUGUUAUUUGGAAUUACCAUUGCUUUGGUAUUUAUUGUUUGUCUUUUGCUAUCGUUACGAUGAGUAGGGAGUGACGAUGUUGGACAUGGAGAUAGUCAGGUUACUG
rnacentral:lncRNA from 1 species